UCCAUUGUAGGCUAAACUCCUUUGCUUGCAUCCCAUUGACUAGGCAUGUGAUGGCAAUUCUGAGGUCGAGGGUUAUUCAUCCAUCAAAAAAUCCUCACUUUGGAAGAGAGCUGAAAAAGGUAUGAUGCCUGAGAAGGGCUAAAAAGGUGGACAGUAAAGAGUAUGGGGUGCCCUGCCGGGGCAACUGUGCCCCUUUGCAUCAAAUGCCCCAUUUGGAGACAAAAAAAGGAAGUGUGUACUGAUUGCACGGGGGGAAAUGCAAACACAACGUAGCUCCAACCUGCUCGCGCAGCUGCCAUUUUCUUGUUUCGCAGUUUGUUCUCCAAAGCUUGCUACACAAUAAAAAGAGAGAAGAA